AUUGAACGCUGGCGGCAGGCCUAACACAUGCAAGUCGAGCGGAUGAUGGGAGCUUGCUCCUGGAUUCAGCGGCGGACGGGUGAGUAAUGCCUAGGAAUCUGCCUGGUAGUGGGGGACAACGUUUCGAAAGGAACGCUAAUACCGCAUACGUCCUACGGGAGAAAGCAGGGGACCUUCGGGCCUUGCGCUAUCAGAUGAGCCUAGGUCGGAUUAGCUUGUUGGUGAGGUAAUGGCUCACCAAGGCGACGAUCCGUAACUGGUCUGAGAGGAUGAUCAGUCACACUGGAACAGAGACACGGUCCAGACUCCUACGGGAGGCAGCAGUGGGGAAUAUUGGACAAUGGGCGAAAGCCUGAUCCAGCCAUGCCGCGUGUGUGAAGAAGGUCUUCGGAUUGUAAAGCACUUUAAGUCGGGAGGAAGGGUUGUAGAUUAAUACUCUGCAAUUUUGACGUUACCGACAGAAUAAGCACCGGCUAACUCUGUGCCAGCAGCCGCCGUAAUAC
rnacentral:rRNA from 1 species